AACGGCUGAUUCAUUCCGGAAGUGUUGCUCAGAGAUACAAAACCAUGCUGUGGACUUUGGAACUAUUUUCUAUGGCGAAAUACAGCGAAACGACGAUUGGGUGUCUAAAAUCCUUCUUCAAAACCCGAAACCUUUUCAGCGAGACGUAUUGCGCUUGAUUAGGUUCUUCUGAAGUACCUCACAUCCUUGCUACGCCCUUAAUGCUGUCAGCAGCCAUCGAAGACCUCGCUGCACGGUGGAAAUGAUCAUUCCCCCAUUACCAAGGCUCUACUAUUUUUAACUGAUACAUUAAGCUUCAAUUGAACUGGCAUAUAUACACAUAUGGUAAGUUAUUAUAUCCAUAUUUGGGUCAUGAUGGUGUGAUGAUGUGAUAUAUUUUACUCAUUCAUGGACUGCAUUGCUUUGUGUUAUAUAAUCGCUAUAUUCUUUAUAUUAUAUUGCAGUUGUAUGUCCCUCCGAGUUUGGUCAAAUAGAAAGAAUAGAAAGAAAUUUCCAACGCUCACAUACUCUUUCCCGCUUUUCCAACCUGGUUUUGUCUCAAAAUAUUAUUUUGCUAUGAGAAUAUUGCUAGUUUUGUAAAGUAUGCAGAGGUACUUCUGUCGUACAAAUCUGUCUUUGUUGCUCCUGUGAGUUUUAUUUACCUACCUCAAACAGUAUCUUAAACUAAGAGAACAGAUGAAAUCCAUCUCUGCAUCAUAUUUUGGCCACUUUUUAUCCCAAAAUUCUGGCACAAUAUUUGUACCUCAUGUCUUGAACACUCUGUCAACAUUUAAUAUCAUCCAUGGUAGUCUUUUUCUUCAUAUGACCAGUAUUGAUUGAGAGUUGCAGUUCAUUUUCUAUGAGCACCUCGAGGGUCGAUUGUUCAAAAAUCCUGCAAGGAGACGGAAAACCCUGCAAAGGCACUCAAUAAAAUGAAACUUUUGUUGAGGCAGAAAAAAGUGGAACAAGCCUAAAUAUUGACAGAACAUAUUUGACUAGGGCUUGCUGUUCCUCGGAUUUUGUCAAGCUGUACGGGAGCUCAAGCCGGCUGUGAAUUGCGAAUGAAGGUCUGCACGCUAGUUCUUGUCCAGGGUGUUGUAGCGAGUGUGGGACUGACUUAAUUUCCUUCCCAGUUGCCACACCUGAUUUGGCAUUAACAAUGGAGAGAGAGAACUGUAAAGAAAGAAAGAUGCAUGUAAAGGGGAAGGAAGGAUGGAAAACAAAAAGUAGGAAAAACAAGACAAAGUAAGUCAAGGAGAAAGUGAGAAGACAGACAGAAAGUUGCAUGGGGAAAGGAAGAAAAACAAAAGGAAAAAACUAAGAAGGAAACAAAAAGAAGGCAAGGAGGAGGAAAGAAAGGUGCACAGUGGAAGGAAGAAAAACUAAAAGUAGGAAAGAGGAAGGGGAAAAAAGGAAGAGAAAGGCUUCAAAGAGAAAAGGAAGACAAAGUAAGUUGUAAUGGGAAGGAAGAAAAAAUAAAGUAGGAAAGGAGAAUGGGGAGAAGAGUAAGGAAAGCAAGAGUAAGGAAAGGAAUAAAAAGAUAAAGAAAGCUGCAAAGGGGAAGGAAGGAAAACAGAGGAGGAAGGUGGAAGGAAAUAAAAAAGAAGGCAAGGAAGAGGAAGACAGAAAGAAAGUUUCGAGGGGAACUAAAGAAAACAAAAUGGAGGAAGGAGAGAAAAAGAAAGGAACACAAGGAGGAGGAAAGAAAGACAAAGUAACGAAAGAAAGUUGCACGGAUGAAGGAAGAAAAACAAAUGGAAAACAAAGUUGGAAGGAAAAACAGUAAGGAGAACAAAAAGGAGGAAGGAAAUGAAAAGGAAGGAAGGCAAGGACGAGGAAAGAAAGUCCAAGCAAAGAAGGAAGGGAAGUAAGUCCAAAAAUGUUGAAAGAGGGAAAAGAAUGGAAAGGAAAUGAAUAGGAGACAAAAUAAGAGGGACUUUAACAACCCUUGCUUCCCUGAAAAACAAAACAAAACAAAAAAAAAACUAUUUAAACCAUGGUCUUAGUUGGUUAAAGUUAGUUUAACCGGUCUCUCAUCCCAACCAAGCUAGUUUUUAGCUAUUUUUCUAGCCUAACCACCUGAACAAAACCCAUCUAAAACCAUAGAAACUGCUUAUCUUAACCAUGUUGGCUAGGCAGGGCGACCAGUACAGUAGGAUUUUUGGACCAUAAAGGUUACCAAAUUUUGUCUAGUUAAAUGUAGGAUAAUAAUCUGCAUUCAAUUAAUCCGUAAACCCAUAAAAACCCACUCAGUGGAUGGGGAGAAAACUGCGGAGAACGAUCGCGCAACACGCACCCGAGACAAACCUCCAAACACCCUCGCUGCAUGUCGCUAUCGGAGCAUAAUCUAAAAUUACGCAGCGAAGCUAACUCAUUAGCAUACUCAUGCACUGGAGGGAAAUGCACUGAUUAUGUUUUACUUUACACUGAUGACCGAGAUGUAUUCAUCUGCUACGACCGCUGCUUUGUGUGUCUGCAUGUUCGGUCAGGGGAAAAGGGAGGGGGGGACGGAUACGUAAUAAUCAUCCUCCCUAGAUUAAAUGGAGGCCAUUAGACAGAUAUUAGGGGAACAAUUGGGAGUAUUGGGCCAGGCUGUCCGCUAGCGCACUUCACUACGAUCAACGAGUGAGUCAUGGCUCCGGCUAAUGGUUUAUCAGCCGUGUAGACAUAGGACCGUAGCGGGGCUGCGGAGGGCAGCGCACCAGGAGGCCUGGCCGCUGAUAUUUUAUCGGCCUACAUGUCUCCGGCUUCUGUUCCCUCCUCUCCCGGCAUUACCGGGAAAAAGUCAUUACUGCUGUAAUUAUUUUCAAGAAGAUGUACUCGCAAAUAUCAGCUAUUUGCUUUCUUUGAUAAAUACUACAGCAUUCAGGGGGGUUGUUUUGCUGCACGAUGCACCAUGUGCUUCGCUCCCCCCCCACAUGAGGUUGCCAUGUUAUUUUCCAGGGUAUGUCCAUUUAGAAGUAGGAUGUUUUACCGCGUUUGCGUCCACGCGUUAAUUGGUCGUAAUUAAGGACAUGCAAGCACCACAAAAAGGAUGAGUGCGGUACUCAUUGAGGUAGAGGCAUGUUCGAAGCCGAACGUGUGGGUUGGUUCUGUCAGAGAGGCACAAGGCAAACAAAGCUGCUCGGUCAUGUCUGAGAGCGACAUGAAUAAUCUCUGAUUGAGCCCAAUUAUCACAGCAGACAAAUCUGACAGAAACAGAGGCGGAGGCAAAAUGAGUAAGACCUAUUAAUAUUAGCAAAAAAAAAAAAAAAACUCGCGCGAGUGAAAAAAUCGUGAGAGAAACAUUGGCGCGAAAAGAGAACAGGCAAAACAAUAUGGUGCCAAAAGAUCCAGAGGCGAAAUUAGACCACCUUGUGUCAACACACAAAAUAAAACGAGGCACCUGUUUAUAAUAGUCACCUCCCUGGAAGAAGCGUAUUUCUCCUGAUGGGACCCCUACUGAUGAGAGGAGACCCGACUAAUCUUUAUGUGACCUGUACCUAGCCGCGGGGGACGGCGAGAACACAACGCGUGCCCGGCGGUACAAUAGGAACACAGAGACUCGUAUUGACAGUUUGCGGUCGGUGGUAUCAUUUUGCUCCCCAGGAUGGCAUAAUCACAUUAUGGAUAAAAGUGAAGCGUUGUCUGUAUUAAUAGGCCUUGAGUCAGGUGGGUUUUACCCCGGUGAGCCUCUGUGCCGAAAAGUAGGCUUGGAAACAUUUAGUCGGAAUGACUAGUGCAGUGCUGCCACCAUGUGGUGAGUGCGCAUAUGUCAACAAGUGGAUCUUCAUAAUAAAGGCAUGCUGAUCAUGUUUAAAAGGAACCAGGGAAGAAAAAUAACACCUGAUUUUUCUUUUUCUGAGUAUCUGAGCAGGUUUCCCAUGGAUUCGUGAAGUCUUUUGUCACUUUAUGCCGUCAGUCAAUGCACACGUACAUAUUCCAUUGCAGUGCUUUUCUCCAUUAAGGCCAGAGGAGGGCAGUGCUGAUCACAGGAAGCCUUCUCCGGAGGACGAGAUCUGGGAGUUUAUCCUCAAACGCAGAAUAACACCAUGCUGUGUCAGCAGUCUGGUCUGAAACAUGUCAUGAAUCCGAGAGGACGGAGAUGUUGUCCAACCUAUGGAAGGAAAACAGAGAGGGAGAAAAUGAAAGAGAAAGAGAGGGCAUCGUGCUUCUCGCAAGCUGACAAUUCCAGCGACUCUGUCAGACAGCAGUUGACUGCUACUCUGCUAUUCCUGUUCGAGGGCUGAACCCACUCUGCCUUGUUGGCACAGAUAUUUUUAGCCCUGGCGUUUGGCAGAGAGACCAGCACUAAGAGUGAUGGGGCCACACAGGCCUCCAACGGCAAAAGGGCAGCAGUGGGAAGAAGAGGGCGGAGGCGGGCAAGGUCACAUGAGGCCACUGGAGACGAGAGAGUGGAGGAUGAGCUCUCUUCCCAGCAGGUCUCUUUCUUAGAUCCACCUGUCUGUGUGUCGAGCUCUGCGGAAAGCACUAACAUAUUCUCUUUGUUAGCUGUACCUCCUACACAAUUUGUCUCCGCAUGAAUGACCUUGACUGCUCCAAUCCCAAAAUAGACCAUGCACACAGGUGUUUUUUUUUUUUUUUUUUUUUUUUACAAUACAAGACUGUAUUAUCACACGGAGAUUUUCUUUCUAUAAAUGGAAGAUCUGAAUCUUACGCUAUUAAGCAUCUCCUGCCAAGUCAAAGCAAUCUGUCAUUUGGCAUUCAGUUCUGCGGAUUACUUGUUGCUAUGUGAAAGUUUGGCUGAAGGCUUUAUUGUUUUGGAAAGUCGUCACAUUUCUGGAAUAAAUUUUCUGUCCACCUAGUUUGUACUAGUAUAAAUGCUACUAUACAUUUGUAGGACUAUAUAUUGAGAAGGUAAACAUUUGGUUGAUAUCCAAAACAGUGAAUGAGACAUAUUUGACAACUCAGUUGUGUUUUCCUGGUAAUUAAAGCAAAUGAUUCGGUCAGUGAAAACAAAUUUGACAGCCUCAUGGCCAACACCAAUGUCAUGGAUUUGAUUCCCAAAGAACAUACAAAAUGUGUCCUAUGUGUGACGCAAUAACUAUUAGGCCUACUUCCAGAAAUUUUCUGCAAUUCAAAUACGACUUCAGCCAGCAACAGGACAUUUCGUUGGCAGGUUAGCAUCUAAUUGUGUUGUGUCAUGCCACAAUGAGAUCUCAAUGGUCCAAAUGUAAAUGUAGACAGUAUCAAAAAAUACUUGGCUAUACCUUAUUUUGAUGGUCCUCUUUAGACAUUCUGUUGACUAUAAGUAAUGUUGCACCUACAUGCCAACGAACUCUCAUUAGAGUAUUAGUAGACUGUCUGCUUAAUGUCUGCUAACACUUUAUUGUGAUGGUCCCCCAACAGACCCUAACCCUUUAUUCUACUAACCCUAAUGGUGCGUUCACACCGGACGCGACUUGCGCGAAUAAAUCGCGCUAUUCGCGCGUAGUUGGACGCUUGAACAUUUUGAGUUUACUC